CUAGUACAUGCAGUCGAGCGAACUGAUUAGAAGCUUGCUUCUAUGACGUUAGCGGCGGACGGGUGAGUAACACGUGGGCAACCUGCCUGUAAGACUGGGAUAACUCCGGGAAACCGGAGCUAAUACCGGAUAACAUUUUCUCUUGCAUAAUAGAAAAUUGAAAGAUGGUUUCGGCUAUCACUUACAGAUGGGCCCGCGGUGCAUUAGCUAGUUGGUGAGGUAACGGCUCACCAAGGCAACGAUGCAUAGCCGACCUGAGAGGGUGAUCGGCCACACUGGGACUGAGACACGGCCCAGACUCCUACGGGAGGCAGCAGUAGGGAAUCUUCCGCAAUGGACGAAAGUCUGACGGAGCAACGCCGCGUGAGUGAUGAAGGCUUUCGGGUCGUAAAACUCUGUUGUUAGGGAAGAACAAGUACAAGAGUAACUGCUUGUACCUUGACGGUACCUAACCAGAAAGCCACGGCUAACUACGUGCCAGCAGCCGCGGUAAUACGUAGGUGGCAAGCGUUAUCCGGAAUUAUUGGGCGUAAAGCGCGCGCACGCGGUUUCUUAAGUCUGAUGUGAAAGCCCACGGCUCAACCGUGGAGGGUCAUUGGAAACUGGGGAACUUGAGUGCAAAAAAAAAAAGCGGAAUUCCACGUGUAGCGGUGAAAUGCGUAGAGAUGUGGAGGAACACCAGUGGCGAAAGCGCGCUUUUUGGUCUGUAACUGACGCUGAGAGCGCGAAAGCGUGGGGAGCAAACAGGAUUAGAUACCCUGGUAGUCCACGCCGUAUACGAUGAGUGCUAAGUGUUAGAGGGUUUCUGCCCCUCUUGUGGUGCAGCUAACGCAAUAUAGCACUCUCGCCCUGGGGGAGUACAGGUCGCAAGACUGAGACUCACAAGAAUUGUACGGGGGGCCCGCACCAAGCGGUGGGAGCAUGUGGGUUUUAUUCGAAGCAACGCGCAGAAACUUAUCCCGUCUGACAUCCUCUGACAACUCUAAAGAAUAGAGCGUUCCCCUUCGGGGAACAGAGUGAACAGUGGUGCAUGGUGUCGU
rnacentral:rRNA from 1 species